rnacentral:rRNA from 1 species
AAGGCAAUGCGCAGCUACACAUGCAGUCGAGCGGAUGACGGGAGCUUGCUCCUUGAUUCAGCGGCGGACGGGUGAGUAAUGCCUAGGAAUCUGCCUGGUAGUGGGGGACAACGUUUCGAAAGGAACGCUAAUACCGCAUACGUCCUACGGGAGAAAGCAGGGGACCUUCGGGCCUUGCGCUAUCAGAUGAGCCUAGGUCGGAUUAGCUAGUUGGUGGGGUAAUGGCUCACCAAGGCGACGAUCCGUAACUGGUCUGAGAGGAUGAUCAGUCACACUGGAACUGAGACACGGUCCAGACUCCUACGGGAGGCAGCAGUGGGGAAUAUUGGACAAUGGGCGAAAGCCUGAUCCAGCCAUGCCGCGUGUGUGAAGAAGGUCUUCGGAUUGUAAAGCACUUUAAGUUGGGAGGAAGGGCAGUAAGUUAAUACCUUGCUGUUUUGACGUUACCGACAGAAUAAGCACCGGCUAACUCUGUGCCAGCAGCCGCGGUAAUACAGAGGGUGCAAGCGUUAAUCGGAAUUACUGGGCGUAAAGCGCGCGUAGGUGGUUCGUUAAGUUGGAUGUGAAAGCCCCGGGCUCAACCUGGGAACUGCAUCCAAAACUGGCGAGCUAGAGUACGGUAGAGGGUGGUGGAAUUUCCUGUGUAGCGGUGAAAUGCGUAGAUAUAGGAAGGAACACCAGUGGCGAAGGCGACCACCUGGACUGAUACUGACACUGAGGUGCGAAAGCGUGGGGGAGCAAACAGGAUUAGAUACCCCGGGUAGUCCACGCCGUAAACGAUGUCAACUAGCCGUUGGAAUCCUUGAAAAUUUAUUGGCGCACCUACGCCUUAAGUUGACCCCCUGGGGGAGUACGGCCGCCAAGGUUAAAACUCCAAUGAAAUUUACGGGGGGCCCCACAAGCGGUGGAGCAAGGGGGUUUAAUUCCAAGCAACCCCGAAAAACCUUUCC